ACGAACCGUCCAAACGUUAUUCGGUAUCACUGGGCUUAAAGCGUUCGUAGGCGGCCUAGUAGGUGAGAUGUGAAAGCCCACGGCUCAACCGUGGAACAGCGUUUCAAACCACUAGGCUCGAGGAUGGCAGGGGUAAUGGGAACUGAUGGUGGAGCGGUGAAAUGCGUUGAUAUCAUCAGGAACACCGGUGGCGAAAGCGCAUUACUGGGCCAUUUCUGACGCUGAGGAACGAAAGCUAGGGUAGCGAACGGGA
rnacentral:rRNA from 1 species